rnacentral:rRNA from 1 species
CCAAUAGCGUAUAUUAAAGUUGUUGCAGUUAAAAAGCUCGUAGUUGAAUUUCGGAAUCAAUGGGUUGGUCAUGCCCUCGGUAUGUACUGAUUUCAUUGGUUCUCACCUUCUAAGGAACCAUGAUGUCAUUUGUUUGAUGCUGUGGGAAAUUAGGACUGUUACCUUGAAAAAAUUAGAGUGUUUAAAGCAGGCUAACGCUUGAAUACAUUAGCAUGGAAUAAUGAAAUAGGACAUCCGAUUCUAUUUUGUUGGUUUCUAGGAUCGAUGUAAUGAUUAAUAGGGAUAGUUGGGGGCAUUAGUAUUCAAUUGUCAGAGGUGAAAUUCUUGGAUUUAUUGAAGACUAACUACUGCGAAAGCAUUUGCCAAGGAUGUUUUCAUUAAUCAAGAACGAAAGUUAGGGGAUCGAAGACGAUCAGAUACCGUCGUAGUCUUAACCAUAAACUAUGCCGACUAGGGAUCGGAUGAUGCUUAUUUUUUAAUGACUCAUUCGGCACCUUACG